UCAGCGAUGGAUAUCUUGGCUCGGGCACCUGUGAAGGGCGCAGCGAAACGCGAUAGUCUUUGUGAAUUGCAAAACUCCGUGAACCAAUCGCCUCCUGAACGUGCGUUGCACUCUUGGGAUUUCCUGAAAGUAUG
rnacentral:rRNA from 1 species